UGUUUUGCUACGGACUACUUUUUGCUACAUUUUUUGGACACUCUUAGUUGGAUUUUGUCUCUUUACUUCAGGUGAGAGAAGGAUGUAACAUUAGCUGGACAGAAUGAUCAGAACUCAGUUGGAUCUCCAUAUGGACAUUGGAGAGACAUGCCAAUGGUGCGUGUAAAAGACACACCACUUCACCAACAGAAAACACACAUCAAUGAAGAGAAAUGGGAAUAACAUAAUUUUAAACAUCAGUCUGAUUAUCCGGUGUGGGACAAUAAACAAUGUUGCUGAUACUCAUAUUUCAGCAACAACCCGCAGUAUUUAGCAGUGUCAGCAGUGGUGAUGUCAGUUGCCAGGCAGCGGCUGUGGCAGUAACUCACUGUCUAAAAGCAUCACAAAAGUCUACAGCCACACCAGCAACUGUUGGUACAGCAAUGCUUUGAGCUAAAUGGUAACAUCAGUGUCAUGAUUCUGCCCCUAGGAACAUAAGUUCUAGUGGCCUUAUAUAUAUUUUUCCAUUUCUUGUGCAGCUUGAAGUGCUUAGCAACUUAAAGAUAUCUAUGUUAUCCCGUGUUUGUGUUUUCUUCAGUUUCCUGUUUUAUUUUGAAGUCCCUUUCCUUGUGUUGCUCACUUUCUUUCCCGUGUCUUGGUGUCUUUACUUUUCCUGUGUCUCCUCCC